AUUCUUUAAAAUGUAAAUACACUCAACUAAUCUGGAUAUAUUUAAGUGAGACUCUACAAUAUUAUUUGACACAAAUCUAUCUAAAUCAAAAUUUUAAUAAUUUUUUCUCCAAACAUUUACUGGACUGAUUUAAUUAUUAAAAUCACUCCUUUCUAAUCCUCUGCUGUAUGUUCAAACCUGAGGUCUUAAAUAGAAACACACAAGUAUCUGAUUGAAGGAGCUUCUGCAGAGUCCUGGUUCCAGAACAUGAUGAUAGAAUUAUAGACAAACUUUAACAAAAGCUGCCUGAGAGUUUACAGGUUUUUAUGUUGGAUUUCUUUAGUAAUUUAAUGAGUUAUCAGCAAAAAUCAAGUGUUCAUUUGACGAACUUCAUUUCCUAAAGCAUCCAGAAUUGGAGCUCAUAUCUUUGGCAGCUGUAAAGUUUCUGCUCCUUCAAAGUUCACAACACAAUGAAUGAAUUCCUAAAACACUCUCAAUGCUGGAGAGCGUUUGUGAUGCUGAAGCAGUGAUCAGUUUUUCUAUUUCUUCUCUGGAGAUGCACAAUGAGGGACGUCUGCAGAGACUGAGAAAGAGUCUCACCACAUCCUGACAUGAGGAAAAAGACUUUAUUGAAGACUACAAUGAGAAAAACUAUCAGACAGCAGACGGCUGCAUUCAAGUCUGUAGCUGCUGAAUUCAUGGAUGAAUCAUCUGGCACUAGAGAAGAAGACCAUCAAACAUCCACGUCAGCUGAUAGAGGUCCAAGAGUCUCACCAAACAACCAACCUACAGAGUGAAGACCUCCAAUCUGAUUGGACGGCCUCCUACUCAGCCACAUGUG